CCUACGGGUGGCAGCAGUGAGGAAUAUUGGUCAAUGGGCGAGAGCCUGAACCAGCCAAGUCGCGUGAGGGAGUACUGCCCUAUGGGUUGUAAACCUCUUUUGUCGGGGAGCAAAAGCCGGACGUGUCCGGCUGUGAGAGUACCCGAAGAAAAAGCAUCGGCUAACUCCGUGACGGCAGCCGCGGUAAUACGGAGGAUGCGAGCGUUAUCCGGAUUUAUGGGGUUUAAAGGGUGCGCAGGCGGAUUUUUAAGUGAGCGGGAAAAUCGUGGGGCUCAUCCCCAUCCAGCCGUUGAAACUGGGGAUCUAGAGUGUGGGAGAGGUAUGCGGAAUGCGUGGUGUAGCGGUGAAAUGCAUAGAGAUCACGCGGAACCCUGAUGGCGAAGGCAGCAUACCGGUGCACAACUGACGCUCAGGCGCGAAAGCGUGGGUAUCGAACAGGAUUAGAUACCCGGGUAGUC
rnacentral:rRNA from 1 species